UACGUAGGGUGCGAGCGUUAAUCGGAAUUACUGGGCGUAAAGCGUGCGCAGGCGGUUUUGUAAGCCAGAUGUGAAAGCCCCGGGCUUAACCUGGGAAUGGCAUUUGGGACUGCAAGGCUUGAGUGCGGCAGAGGAGACUGGAAUUCCCGGUGUAGCAGUGAAAUGCGUAGAUAUCGGGAGGAAUACCGAUGGCGAAGGCAGGUCUCUGGGCCGAUACUGACGCUGAGGAGCGAAAGCGUGGGGGGCGAACAGG
rnacentral:rRNA from 1 species